AAGAACAAAGUUUUGUCCAUCUUUGUUCAUCAUAGCCUAAAGUUAGAGAAGAGAAAGGAGAUGAGAAAGCUCUUGAGUGUUCGGUCACUUGGGGAAGAAAAUUGAAGGUAAGUUCAUGGUAGUUUGCUUCUAUCUUGAUGUUCAUGAGUUCUUCUUGAUUCUACCUUAACUCUUGAAGCAUAUUUUGGUUUUUAGUUGUGUUGUGAGCAUUUAGUCAUGAAUUAAAAUGAAGGAAAUGGUUGUUGUUUCAAGUUCUUUUGAUGAAAAAUGGAAGAUAGGUGAAGUUGAGCCAAACAAAUGAGCAUGCAUGUGCCUUAGAUGCUAAGGGGAAAAAAUCGGCUAACAUGUUGUGCUUUAAAAUGAUGAAAUGGAGAUUAUACUUAAGUAAAAUCAUAGAUAUGUGAUGAUUGAUUGGUGAUAUACAUGUUUAAAUAACAAGCAUGCAAGUUAGGUGUGAAAGAGUGAUUUCGUAAUAAAUCUGCUUGGGACAGCAGCAGUAACGUGACUUUGGAAAAUCACCAUAAAUUCUGGGAGAUGAAUUAGAAGCUGAAUAAAUUAUGUAAUUAAAGCUUAUUGAGUCUAGUUUCAAAUUAAAUAAACAAGAACAUAUUUUGAAUUCUGUACAAUGAGAAAUUUGAUUCGUAAUGAAGAGAGGUCAGAUUAGUCAAACAGUGAAACAUGGGAAACUUUGAGAAAAAUCUGGUAUUGAUUGGCUAAACCAAAAAUUCUGAAAAUUUUAUGGAUAGAAUAUAUACGAGUCUAUUUUCAGGGAAAAUUAACGGAACUUGAUUUGGAGUUUCGUAGCUCCAGUUAUAAAUGAUUUAGUGACUGUUGCUCAGGAAGACAGCUUGCUGUGAAAUUAUGAUUAUGUGGUAAACACUGACAAAAAUUUGUUAAUGAGUUGCUUAUUGAUUUCUUAUAAGCUUACUCUGAUCUAUAGGUGUGGUUGGCUGAAUAUUGUAAGGGUUUAAUACGUAGUUCGUAUUUGAAUAGUUAGAUUAACGUGUUAGUAAUCCAAUUGUAGGCGGUUCGUGUGUGGAUCUCGUCAGCAUAUCGUCGCAAACAGGUGUGUAACUGACACCCUCUCAUAGACUAGAUUGGCAAAAGCCGAAAAGCCGAAAUGCCGAAAAUUCGGUAUUUUGGGAAUUUACGAGUGUGCGAAUGCUCAUAAGAUAGUUGGGUUUGUAUAUUUGGUAAUCUAAAGUAAUAAACUGCAGUACGCGUGAUUUCGUACAUUUUGAUAAUUUGGGCUUAAUGGGCCAAAGAUCGGGUUCAUGGGCCAAUGGGCCCAAUUCGGUAAGUAUGCGCGGUAAGUGUUCUGAUAGUACGUAAAUAGUUAGGAUAUGCAUGAAAACCCUAAAAGCAGCUAAAUUACUAUAAUACCCUUAUGUAUGGAAAAUUACUGUUAUACCCCUAGGUGCAAAAUUACCGUUAUACCCCUAGGGUUAAUUUUGACUGAAAAGCAUGACGAUCUGAUUCUGUAUGAUGUAUUCCAUGAUUAUAUAUCUGUUGCAUGGGGACAUGGGUUAUAUUAUGGAGGAAGCGUCCUGGUGGCUAUGCCACAAUUAUCUGAUCUGGUGGCUUUGCCACUUAUAUUUGUUCUGGUGGCUAUGCCACGGUUAUUUGAUCUGGUGGCUCUGCCACAUAUAUCUGUUCUGGUGGCUCUGCCACAAUAUCUGUAUCUGGUGGCUCUACCACAAUAUCUGUAUCUGGUGACUUCGUCACAAUAUCUGGCAGCCUCACUGCGAUUUCUGUGGUGUGUAGCGGUUGGGUGGGUCGAGUAGUUUCCCCACAUGGUGUAAGGCUGGUACGGGGGUGUUAUGGAUGAAUCUGGGUUGGGUUUCUGCAUAAACAUGUAAUAUCUAUUCUGUUCUAUUAUGGGCCUAUGGGCUUUAUUCUGAAUUCUAUUCUGGGCUAAGGCCAACUUAUUCUAUUUCUAUGGUUUGAGCUGAUAUAGGCUAUGGUUGGGUUAAUUUACACACUGAGUUUCCCCGAACUCACCCCUUUUAUUUUCAUCCACACAGGUAAUCCCCAACCAUAGUGGGCUUGGAGCUGUGAGGGAAUUCGGAGUGGCCACCCGUUCUGAAAGUUUGAUUUUCUUCUGGUGAACUGGACAUCCUUUUAUUUACGUUUGAAGUUUUGGGUUUUUAAAUGUAAUAAGGCCGCUUAAUUAUUUUUGAUGGUUUUAAUAUGUAUUACUAAGAUAGGUAUUACUUAUUUUAACUGUUGAAAUUGGAUAGCUUUAGGGUGCGUUUUCAAAAAUAACAAUUGAUUUCAAAAUAACACGACAACAAGCAAAGCUUCCGCAAUGAAAGUAUUUUCCAAAAUUAAUCACUUUUCCUAAAAAUGACAUAAUCAAAUCGGUUUCCUAGAAAUAUCCAUGACGUUAAGGUGUGGCAAUGGCGG
rnacentral:lncRNA from 1 species